rnacentral:rRNA from 1 species
GUAUACUUCAAAGGACACUUAACUAAAACCCCUACGCAUCUAUAUAGAGGAGAUAAGUCGUAACAUGGUAAGUGUACUGGAAAGUGCACUUGGACGAAC